AUUGAACGCUGGCGGCAUGCCUUACACAUGCAAGUCGAACGACGCUAGGGGCAACCCUAGCGAGUGGCGAACGGGUGAGUAAUACAUCGGAACGUGUCCUGUUGUGGGGGAUAACCAGUCGAAAGAUUGGCUAAUACCGCAUGACCUCGUAAGAGAAAAGCGGGGGACCGCAAGGCCUCGCGCGACUGGAGCGGCCGAUGUCGGAUUAGCUAGUUGGCGGGGUAAAAGCCCACCAAGGCGACGAUCCGUAGCUGGUUUGAGAGAACGACCAGCCACACUGGGACUGAGACACGGCCCAGACUCCUACGGGAGGCAGCAGUGGGGAAUUUUGGACAAUGGGCGCAAGCCUGAUCCAGCCAUGCCGCGUGUGUGAAGAAGGCCUUCGGGUUGUAAAGCACUUUCGGGCGGAACGAAAUCGCGCGGGUUAACAGCCCGCGUGGAUGACGGUACCGCAAGAAGAAGCACCGGCUAACUACGUGCCAGCAGCCGCCGUAA
rnacentral:rRNA from 1 species